rnacentral:rRNA from 1 species
UACGAAGGGUGCAAACGUUGCUCGGAAUCAUUGGGCGUAAAGCGCACGUAGGCGGCCUCGCAAGUCUGAUGUGAAAUCCCUCGGCUCAACCGAGGACGUGCAUCGGAGACUGCGGGGCUUGAGUACUGAAGAGGAUCGCGGAAUUCCCGGUGUAGAGGUGAAAUUCGUAGAUAUCGGGAGGAACACCAGUGGCGAAGGCGGCGAUCUGGGCAGAUACUGACGCUGAGGUGCGAAAGCGUGGGGAGCAAACAGG